AGCACAACACCACUGUAAGUAGCAAAUCAUGCUCCAUGAUUGACUGAACAUUCAGUACAAAAAAAGAAAAAACAGAAACUAUUACAAAACCACCGAGCAGUAGCAGUUUAAGCUCAACAAAACUGUUGCUUAGGAGAAGACAAAUAGUACAUGCGCAACUAGACAUUAAAUGGAGCCGUUUCCACAUCAUAUUAUAGGGAACUUAUCUAGCUAUAUUAAUAUCGCUGAGAUGCUAUCUCCUGAAAAAAGGAACACUGCAUACUCAGGUGUGAUCAGCAGCCGGAUUAUACACCAUGCUUCACAUCAGUGCACCAGCGCCGCAUUUUAGUAGCAGGCUACGCAUCUUGAGCUACUGGUGUGUAUCAGCAAGCUAGCAGAGUCAACCUAGCUAUCAGGUUCUAUUAGCACG
rnacentral:lncRNA from 1 species